GUCACAGAGCAGCAAUUUCCUGUGCAUGUGCACUAGCAUCCCAGUGCUUUUCUAUGGAUUGGCUGAGAUCAACAAUCUCCUAUAGAAUGGCUGACACCAUUGAUCUCCUAUGGAUUAGUUGAGAUCAUCGAUGGAGGCAAGAGCAGCUGUGGAGAGAGUGCACUCAGGAGUGAAAGGUGGUAAACAAAACAGCUAGAGUACAUUAUAUUGUUAGG